UACCAUUAAGUUGAGCAACUCUAAAGAGACUGCCCGGGUUAACCGGGAGGAAGGUGGGGAUGACGUCAAGUCAUCAUGGCCCUUAUGGGCUGGGCUACACACGUGCUACAAUGGCCGGUACAGAGGGUUGCCAACCCGCGAGGGGGAGCCAAUCUCAGAAAACCGGUCGUAGUCCGGAUCGCAGUCUGCAACUCGACUGCGUGAAGUCGGAAUCGCUAGUAAUCGCGAAUCAGCAUGUCGCGGUGAAUACGUUCCCGGGCCUU
rnacentral:rRNA from 1 species